rnacentral:rRNA from 1 species
CCUACGGGGGGCUGCAGUGGGGAAUAUUGGACAAUGGGGGGAACCCUGAUCCAGCCAUGCCGCGUGUGUGAAGAAGGCCCUCGGGUGGUAAAGCACUUUCAGUGAGGAAGAACGCCUGGUGGUUAAUACCCAUCAGGAAAGACAUCACUCACAGAAGAAGCACCGGCUAACUCCGUGCCAGCAGCCGCGGUAAUACGGAGGGUGCGAGCGUUAAUCGGAAUUACUGGGCGUAAAGCGCGCGUAGGUGGCUUGAUAAGCCGGUUGUGAAAGCCCCGGGCUCAACCUGGGAACGGCAUCCGGAACUGUCAAGCUAGAGUGUAGGAGAGGAAGGUAGAAUUCCCGGUGUAGCGGUGAAAUGCGUAGAGAUCGGGAGGAAUACCAGUGGCGAAGGCGGCCUUCUGGACUGACACUGACACUGAGGUGCGAAAGCGUGGGUAGCAAACAGGAUUAGAUACCCUUGUAGUC